rnacentral:rRNA from 1 species
UAGGGAAUAUUGGACAAUGGGGGCAACCCUGAUCCAGCCAUGCCGCGUGAGUGAAGAAGGCCCUCGGGUUGUAAAGCUCUUUUGUCCGGAAAGAAAAGCAUUCGGUGAAUACCCGGAUGUUCUGACGGUACCGGAAGAAUAAGCACCGGCUAACUUCGUGCCAGCAGCCGCGGUAAUACGAAGGGUGCAAGCGUUACUCGGAAUUACUGGGCGUAAAGCGUGCGUAGGUGGUUGUUUAAGUCUGAUGUGAAAGCCCUGGGCUCAACCUGGGAAUGGCCUUGGAAACUGGGCAGCUAGAGUGCGGUAGAGNGUAGUGGAAUUCCCGGUGUAGCAGUGAAAUGCGUAGAGAUCGGGAGGAACAUCUGUGGCGAAGGCGACUGCCUGGACCAGCACUGACACUGAGGCACGAAAGCGUGGGGAG